AAAAGUAGGUAUACCGUAAAAGUACCGGUUAUGAAAGUGGAGUGUCGCUGCCUGAAUCAGUGUUGACUGUUGGAGAAAGAGUCAAACUCACAAAGACUCAUCGCCGUUUAAUCGCAUUUCUAUUGUGAAAUUAUUUUCAAGCAAGUAAUGAAUUAUGGCUCUUGGUAAAUCGGCAAAAAUUAUGCUUAGUUGGGCUGGCAUCGUUGUGAUAGGUGUUUCAUCAUUUGCCAUGGCCAAAGUGAGUGUGGACAAAAAUCGGUAUGAGAUCUUGAAGAGCAAGAACAGAAUGAAGACGUUCAAUGAGGAGAUUUCAGAUCAAGAACAUGUAAGAUAUGCGAACAUCAGAAAAUGAGGAGUUUGUCUUAUCUUUAAGAGUGUCUCCUUUAAGAAUGGCAGUUGCUGGACAAACAGUGAGAUUUUUCAGACACCAAGCAUCCUAGAUGUUAUACAUCAUCAUGACUGCAAAACAUAUUUGAUGAAUUUCACAAAUAUCAAGUCUGCGAGGUGCAAAAUUGAUUUAUUAUUCCUGCAAUAUAUUUUCUGUUAAUUUUUGGAGGAAUGUAGUCAGGAAGAUCUUAAGAAGUUUGCUUCGAAUGCUGAGUGUCUUCACUUGAUUUACAUUUUUGGUCAGUGAUCCAUCUUGUACAUGAGAUGUUUUGUGAAUCUCUAUCUUUACUAAUUGUGUGUGAGUGAGGAUUAAUUAUCUUCAAGUCGAUAAACAAUCUGUCAAAUAUAUCUUUCAAUCAGAUAUACAAGCUAAUUUUUUUUCAACCUAAGAGGAAUUUCAUCUUGUAAAUAAUGCAAAGAAAACCAGAUGAUUAGAUGUUUGUCUAGCUCCAUGUACCCAGAAGUAUCAACCGUUUCACAACACAUUGCCGAGGAUGAUGAAAUAACUGCAAAAGUAUUAUUAUUCAUAUGAUUUUUAUUUGGAUGUUGAAGUAGUGCCAUUUAACUGUGUUAGUCCAAUUAUUUGUAAAUAUUUAGAUACUGGUAGACCUCUUUGAUAUGAUUCUUGACAGAUUUUUUUUUAAAUUUUGUUCACAUAGUGAAUCAUUGAAAAUUGGAAGCUGUCUUUGAUUUUGUUCAAACUCUUAUGACUGGUAUUGUUGAAAACAUAAGGCCAGAGCAAGGGUGUGAGAGUUCAGAUUUUUAUCUGAUUUCAGAUUUUUUUUGUUUUGAUUUUCAGCUUAAUUUCAGCUUAUUUUUGGCCUUUGUACAAAAAGUAUGGGAGCUCUUUCUAUUUCAGACUUUUUCAACACUCUUCAGCUUUUUUCAGAUCUUUUUAUUUGUGACCACUCACACCCCUGGACCAGAGCAAAAGCGAAAUGUUUAUUUAUGUGAAAUGAAGCAUAAAAUUUGCCUUUUCCCUUUUGCUGGCUUUGAGCAAGAACACACGCAAUCCAACCUUGGCUAAUAGUCAGCGGAGCGUUGUGGCCCAGUGGAUUAGUCUCCGGACUUUGAAAUGGAGGGUCGUGGGUUCAAAUCCCAGCCAUGGCGUAGUUUCCUUCCGCAAGAAAUUUAUCCACUUUGUGCUGCACUCAACCCAGGUGAGGUGAAUGGGUGCCUGGCAGGAAUUUAUUCUUUUAAAUGCACUGAGCACUGGAAGGUUGCUUGAGCUACAGCCAAGGUAAUAAUAUCCAAGUUCUUUGGAAGAUAGAGACGUUAUUCAUAAUGUGUUGUGCGCCAUACAAGAACUAUUUUUAUGAUUAUUAUUAAUGAUAAAAGAAAUCAUACAAGCCAUUUCCAGGCCUGACUAUUGCCCUUUUUCGUUCCAAGUAAUUCAAGCAGGGCAAGUUUUGAGAAAAAUUAUUUUCUUAUUCAGACCUUUUUAUUAUGAAAUAACUUCAUAAUUAGCCCUAAUGAUGAUUGAACAAAUUUAGAAUGUUUUGAUAAUAAACCAAGUGGGUUUAGCCAUUGUCUUACAGUCUAGAACUUGACCAAGUAAUAUCUGGCCAAGCAGCCAUAAACUUAUUGUAUCUUUUCCUUUUACAUGGCGGUAUGCAAAUAUAUAUUUUUUUAAAGGUAUUUCCAAAAAAUGUUUAGUUUCAAAUUAAGCGUCUAUCAGUGUAAAUAUCAUUGUGCGAUAGUGGAAUUGACGAUGAUUCUGAAUAACAUAAUCUUGAUAUGAUAUUGGGUGAAUUUUCAUUAAAACUAUUCAAAUGAUCACACACAUGAUCCAUAUAUUUCAAUGCUAUGCUGGGGCACUCACCGCGGCAUUUUUCUAUGUGCACAAUGAUUUGCAUAUAUGUUGCAUAAACAGGAAAUCCCAUUCAUUCUUAAAGUUCAUGUGGUUGGCACUUUGAUAGUAUGUACCUGCAAAAAAAAUUGCUAACUUCUCAGAUAUUUUCGGCAAUUCUGAUCCAUUUUUAUAAAAUGAAUCUAAGUCUGAAAGUUAUGAAUGAAAAUCAAGAUGAACAUUGAUCUUCAUUCCAGCUAACACUGCAGAGAGCCAACACCUUAAUUCUAAGACUUAUUUUUUUAAAUGAAAAAUGUCUUUUCAUUAAAUUGACCUGUAUUAUUCGGGAAAUUCAAAUAUUAUAUUACUUGAGUUAUUUGAAUGAUGAGAAGAAACUUUCAUUGCACUUUGUAAUUUACAGAUAAUUCAUUUAUAAAGUUCUAUUCUCAUUUUUUA